GGGCUUGUGGCACAGUGGUAAUGCGCCUCAUUCGCAUUGAGGAGAUCCCCGGUUCGAUUCCGGGCAAGUCCA